rnacentral:lncRNA from 1 species
CACUCACAAAGAGCCGAGGGGAGAGAGGGUGCGCAGACGGCCAGCGGGGCCGCGCCAGGGACAUACUGGAGACAGGAAGUGGCUGAGAGGGGGAGAGAGUUGGAGAGAGACGGCCGCGGAGGACACGGGGACGGGAAAGUCUGAGAGACGGGGAGAGCCUGACCCGGCGGGACACAGGCAGAAAGAAACACGCGAGCCAGACAGACGCAGAAGAAACGUGCCUGGUACUGGAUAGGAACUUCAUGGAAUGGAGCUAAUGGGCCGUAGGGCAGGUUUGAGUCGUGCCACCCUGGAGCAGAAGGUGGAGGGUAGGGAUAAGGGGGUGGAGCACCUGAUUCCAAUCUUGCCGCACGGAAGAAGAGUCUGUGAAGAAGUGCGUGAUGACUGUGUGUCCCCCCCACCCAGAAAUUGGCAUUUGGGAGGGGUGGAUAUGGUUGGGACUGGGGAGCCUUGAUCUUACUGCUCUUGGUUGAGUUGGUGUCCAAUAGACAGUUUCAGAGGUUAGAGCAGUGGGAGUCACUGGGGACUGGGGACGGGAGAGGUGGGGGUGGGGGAAGCCAGGCGGGAAUGAGUAGGGAGGCACUGGGAGGAGGGGAGAGGCAAGAGUUAGGGGAAUACCGAGGAAAGUGGCAGGGAUUGGAGGCUCCUGGAGAAAGGGCAAGGCUGAAGGUUGUCCCAUGUAUUUUGGCCAGAUUUGAUUAUGUAAUCGAGAUACAUGAGAUAAUUGUGUUCGUGUCUCUGGAGCCUUCAACCAGCUCUUUUAACAUCUUGCUCUUCCCGGCAUUCCUUAGGGUCUUUGGCUGGGCUCUGGGAUGGAUGCCAUGGGAGUACCUUUACUUAAGCUCUAAAGUUACCAAUGGAGAGACUGGGACUCAAAGAGGAACUUGAUUGGACCCCAGAGAGGUGAGGGGUAAGGGCUCGAACCUCACACAUGCUGGUUUUGCUGCUGCCUGGCAGGCCCAUGGGAAGAACUUUAGAGGUUCCAAGGAAUUGGAAAAGGGUCACAAGAUGGGUGGCCAAACUCCCAGCUCAGGCUUGAUUCCUACUCUCAAUGUGGGGAUAGUGGAGAAGGGGGCUGCAGGAAGGGCUGAGAAAAGCUGAGAAUGAGAAGUUAUACAGGAGGUAGCUUGGUGGGAGUGAAACAAAAAUGAGUGGUUCAUGGGCCAGCCAGGCAUCCUGAUUUACAGCUCACAGCAGCAGGAGC